rnacentral:misc_RNA from 1 species
UGAGCCAGGUCACGAUGUC